AUCAUCCGACUGUUUUGUAACAUUUUCCAUUUCUUUAGCAGUGAUUGGAAUAGGUGCCGUGUAAUAAUGGUAUAUUGGAGAAGGGAUAGAAACGGUGCCACCCACGGACUCGGCGUAGGCGCGCACCCGUCCCUGCCCCGCCCGCAGUAUAUACAGUCCGACCCCGGGCCGGUUCCCCAUACCCUGUUCCAUUCCCCAUCUCAGAAAGCCCAAAUCCUCACAUCCUAACCCUAGCUCCAUGCGAUCCCUCACUGCCCUGAUCCCCGCCGCCGUCGAUGUUGUUGGACCCAUCACUCGCGGGGCCCUCAGAGGCCGCCAGGCCGUCGGCCUCCCCCCAAAGGAGUCGGAGCCCUCUGGCGCCAGGGGGGCGCUGCCAUCGCCGCGCCAGGGGCCGCCCACGACACAAGCGUGCUAUGGGUCGACAACUUGCCCGCACACGCGGGCGGGGACAACGUCAUGGCGGCCUUUGCCCUGCACGAGGCGCUCGAAUGCGUCGUCACACACGCCGUCUUCUGCAGCUACGCGUUUGUCCUGUUCUGCUCCGUGGCCGAUUCUCGAGCCGCCCUCGAGGCGCUCUGCGGGUCCAAGGUCAAGGGCGCGUUCAUCAGGGUCGAGUUCGCCCAGCAGAUAACUUCUUACCCCCUCCUUCUCUACCCGCCAUUCGGAUCCGCUCCCACCUUGGAACCCCUCGGGAUCUGGCUGUAGUUCGCGAUGUGAAUUUUCCAAUAAUUAGGACUUCGGUGCUUGUGAUUUACGUUUUAUUUAGGCGGUGUGGGUGAGGCCUCCAGCGGCUCUGAUAUAUGUAAUUAUUCGAGCGGUGGCACACCGGAUCAGCGGUGACGGGGUGGUCUGGCGGAGGCUCGCAGGUGGUUGGGGAGCGCGGCGGGCGCGGCCCUUGUGUCAGGCUGGCAAUCGGGUUGGGUUUCAAUAGGCCGAACUCUGCCAAACCCAUGCCCGAAUAACUAAUCAGUUCAACCUACGACCCAACCCAUGGGUCUCAUGGACGACCCAUGCGCACACCCGAUGGAUGACCCGACCGAUUCGAGCACCCAUCAGGUCCAUGAAAAAAUUUCCAUUUGUUACUCCACCUAGCAUGCAACCACUUCAAAUAAAAUCGGUGUCUACCUGCUAGUUUUAUAGUCAUGUCGAUGCCUCCUUCCCCAGUAGUAAGCCAAGGCGGUACUAAACAUUACAAGGGAACGGUGCCCUGUCUGUUGUAGGCCGCAGCUAAUAUAGCGACGCUUAAGCACUGAGAAAUGAAAAAACGCUUCGCUUUGGCCCUAAGUGGUAGAUUAAGCGUAUUUGAAAUUCUUGGCCAUAAUUUGGCUAUUUUUGAACUGCUUCUGCUUAGCUUCUUGUGCAAUAAUGGCAGUAUGUCAUUUAUGUUAUUAUUAGGGUCUGUACGGGAGUUGUUUCCUUCAGAUUCUGGCGAAAUCAUGGAAAGAUGAUCUGCAUUUGGCUAUGUCUAUUGGAACUGAACUACAUAUUAGUUGCCAUUUGCUUGCUGUGUGAACCUGAUGUGUAUUUGCUAUGUUGUGAAGGUCAUUUUAGAUGCUACUUCAACUACCCGUGUGCAAUGUUUCCUAUUUUCCUGUGCAUACUAUUCAAAACAGUCAAAUUCUGGCCAAGUUUGAAAAAAUGCUCAAGCGCACUUAAGCGCCCAUUGCUCUAUGUUGUGGCCUUCCACUUUUUUGAACAUUAUCCUUUAUUAGUAGGUAUAGAAAUACUCCUAGAUUGGUGAUUGUUCCUUGUUCUAGGGUGAAAUUGCUAUGCUGGUGUUGUGUAAAGAUUUAUGCCCUCUUGAUGUUUACUUGUGUCUGUUGAUUGGUUUUUACAAGCUAGAGCUACUAGGAACCUAUGGGUUGGAGGAAUUAGUCCGUCUAUCUCAAAGUAGGAGGCAGAGGAGGAGUUUCAAAAGUUUGGAAAGAUUGAAGGUGUUGGAUGCUCCCACGAUCAAACUUCUACAUACAUGGACUUUGAGAAGCUGUAAGAUGCCAUUUCUGCCCAUAGAGCCUUCAAUGGGACAGAUUUAGGGGGCAAGGAAUUUUGUGUUGAUUUCCAGAGGUCCUGAGGAAGAGCGGAACAGUUGGAAGCAGGUUACUUCAACAGUAGAGGAUCAUUGCCACCCGGUGAAAUGGGAGUUGAACAUGCAAAGGUUCUGCUGGAGUAUGAACGAGAGAGGUAAAAAUUCCUACCAAUGUUCUCUGGGUGGGUUUACCCAAUACACAUAAAGUUGACGAGGAGGCACUAAGGCGGGCUAUGGCAGCACAUGGUGUGGUUACAAACAUCAAAGUUUUUCCAGAAAGGCAGUAUGCUUUUGUGGAGUUUGCAACCAUUGAAGGAGCUUCUAGUGCUAAGAAUCUUCUAGAUGGGUGUCUUUUCAAUAAUACAAGGAUUCAUGUUCUUUAAUCUAGCAGUGGGCUUGAUAACCUAACACCGCUUCUUGGGUUCCUAUAUCAAAGAUGUAUAAUGAUAGGCCACAUGCCGCACGUUAUUAUUUAGGUGCUGGUUGCAGUAGUCAUGGCUCGUCACAAGGGUAUGACCCUCGACGUGGAAGAGCAAGAUACUUGGACUAUGGUGCAAUGCCAAUCACUGCUUGUAUCCUUCCGGCACCUGAAGCUGGCUCAUCUUUGUUGUCUGGACAUUCUGCUCAUAGUGCGCUUGAUCCGAGAGAAGCCAAAAGGGAGAGGCUCGAUGCUGGCAUCGACCCUUACCAUGUAAGGGAAGGCACUGAGGGUCUUCAACCGGGUCAGGGAGCUUUUUUUGUAACCUUGAUCUUUAGCGAAUCGUUUUCUAUCACUUAUGGAUUGUUUUUUCCGGACCUUUAGCAAAUUGUUUCCCAGAUUGGGGAACAAGGGUCAGGUCGGGCAGCUCUUUUUUUCCUCAGAUCUUUAGUGAAUCGUUUUCUACCACUAAUGGAUGGCAGUGGUGGGUAAUUGUGUGCAACUUCAGGGGCAAAGUCAGGAUGAACAGGCAGAAGCACAAAUCCAUUUAUCAGUGUUCAAAAAAGUGUUGUGGUAGUGAAGUAUAUUGUGGUCAUUUGUGUUGUGGUAGAGACACUUUCUUUUAUUAGGGUCGGGACGGGCGGGCAGAAGCAUAAACUACAGAUACAUAAACUUAUGAUGAUUUGUGUUGUGGUAGAGACACUUUCUUUUAUUAGGGUCAUUUACAUUAUUUCUAUUUGUGGUAGUGAAGUAUAUUAUGGAGAUAUUGUAUGCAUUCCUUCAUCUGAGACGUUUUUAAGAGGGAAAGUUAUUACUAACCAACUCCUUGAAUUAAAUUAAAAGGUGUAUAUGAAAGCCAUGUUUUUGCGAUUAUUUUUCUCAAGGUGGCAUAAUCAUAUGGCCCACCCACACGGCAAAGCCAUCCCUGCCCCACUCACAACAUAUACUAGAUGCAUACAAUAUCUAGUAACUAUGGUAUGCUCUGUUUUAAGUUUGAAUGAUGUACUAAUAAGGAAUGAUGUA